rnacentral:rRNA from 12 species
CAACAAAAAAAAACCGGCGCCCGAUCCCGUCCGAUCUCGGAAGCUAAGCAGGACCGGGCCUGGUUAGUACUUGGACGGGAGACCGCCUGGGAAUACCAGGUGCUGUAGG